rnacentral:lncRNA from 1 species
GCUCAGGAGGUAGAGAGACUUCAUGGCCUGCUCAGAUCGACAUUUGAGCUGAUCCGGACUGAUAUUAGGUGCUCGAGGGAUUAUGUUUCAUCUGAUCUUGAGGGGCUCAGAGUUUCAGUGAGAGCUGCAUUAUCUCAGCUAGAUGUCAUUAGGACUCAGCUCCAGUCCAGACCCUCUGUAUCCACUGAGCCUAUCUUUGUUUAGCCUAUCGCCUUCUAUUCCCUAACCUCUUCUACUCAGACC